AGAGAGAGAGAGAGAGAGAGAGAGAAUGAAAGAAUUCCUACAGAACCUAUAGAGAUGGGCACCAGAAGCUGAAGGUGAAUCAACGGAAAAGAUCCAAGAGGAUUGGUCAGAAAGGUCGGAGGACAACCAGUGACCGGUGUCACAAAAUCUGAAAGAGGGGAGAGCUUCUGGCAGAGGAGUUGGGGGGUGGCUGAUGUUAAAGGCUUCAGAAAAGCCCAGGUCAAUGAGGGCAGUGAGGAGGCUGUUGAUGUCCGGUUGGUUGGGAAGCUCAGGGAUGAGGGCAGAUGCUCCAUGGCAAGGGGCCGAGGCCCUAGUGAGUGGGUGGGCUGGUGGGGAUGGGGGGGAGAGUUGGAGGUUACAGGAAGAGACCCCUUUUAGGAAGUCUGGCAAUGAAAGAAAGGCCACAAGAGCCUUGUUCGAGGUGGCCGGCGAGUUUCCUGCCGAAUGCGCUUCGUUUCAUUUUCUCCUGGGGGGUUUCCUGUGUUUUCCAGCUCUGUUCGGAUCAUCGCCAGCAGCAGCAACAUCUGGGUUCUCCUUGCUGCAGGGAACUCAGAUGAACUGGUUUGAGCUGACGUCAAAUAAAGCCGAUGGGCUGCAGAUUGGCCGGGGUGGGGGUGGGGGGCGGCCAAUAAAGCUGGCCCCUCCCACUUCCCCUGACUGUCGCCCGCCCCCACCCCUUCGCCAGAAUGCUGGAGAUCAUUAGGAACCCAGAGUUGUCAUCUGAUCUCCAUCUGGCCGCCGUCACUACAGCUGCCUUUGAUCGCUUGCCAAAAGUGUACGGGAAUGCUCCCAGGGAUCAUGGAAAGGACCCACUAGGCUGUUUGACACACCACCUUUUCUGUACACUGGAUUUGAUUGAAAUUACUGCUGAUUUCCAUAGUGCUGAACUUUGAAGUUUGAUGUGGUUUGAAAUUCUGGUAUGUUUAUGAGCAUCACACAGGUGGCCCUUCGAUUUUGGAACUCUUGGAACAUUUAAGCACACAGUUCAACAAAAUGAUCAUCAUAUACAACAUUCUGCUCCUGUCAUUCCCACCUUUCCAUGGAGUCAACAAACAUUUACCAAGUUCCUACUACACAUCAGGCAUUCUGUUAAACGCUGGGCUUACAAAGAAAGGCAGGAACCGUCCCCUGCCCUCAAGGUGCUCCCAAUCUAAUGGGGAGACAAAAUGCAAACAACUAUGUGUGUACAAACAACACAGGAUAAAUUGGAGAUGGUCUGCAAAGAUCCUAGCACCAAGGAUGACAGAGGAAGGCUUUCUACAGAAGUCAAGAUUUCAGCUAAGACUGCUUUAUCAUCUCUUCUCCAGAACCUAGUCCUGGUCAUACUCAUUCAUCUGAGUUCAACUGCCUUUUAGAGUUUUUCUCCCCUGCAUGACUGUAGUCAUUCUGUUAACUGUUAUCCUAGUGCUUUAUUUUGCUCUGCAUCAGUUCACACAACUCUUCUCAUGCUUCUCUGAAUUUCACAUGUUGUUUCUUAAGGGAAGAGAAUGUUCCAUUGCAUUCUUAAACCAUGAUUUGUACAGCCAUUGUCCAAUUAAUGGGCAUUCACUUCAUUUCCUGUUUUUCACUACCACACAAAAAGUGUUGCCAUGAAUAUUAUGGUGCAUAUAUAGUACUCUUCUUUCUUUCUUUGAUAUCAUUAGGGACUAUACCCAGUAGUGGAAAUAUCUGAGUCAAUAACUGUGGGAAGUUUUGUGACCUUUCUUGCAUAAUUUCAAGUUUAUUUACUUGUUUUUCCAGAAGGGUUAGGUCAACUCAUGGCAUAGUAUAUUAGCACUUUACAUUACUUUUUAAACAUUUCACUGAUGUCUUUUGUUUUGACAUCACUUUCACUUCCAAAUACAUUUCUCCUGUUAUGCUCUCCAGUGAACUAUCAAGAAUUAGAAAGAGGAGAAAACAUCAGCAAACUCAGCCAUUGAGUCUGACAGUGCUGUAUGUAGAAUGUUUCGCAAGCAUGGUGGCCUGCCACUAGGAAGGAGGGGAGGACGUAAGAUGUCUCACUUCUUGUUCAGGGUGAAGUCAUCAUUAAAAGUUGCCCUGUGUGAAGUUUUGGGUUUUUGUUCUUCCUGUUUGAACUUGUUUUCUUUUUUUUUCUUUUUUUUUUUU